CACUCGGAGCUGGUACACGGUGUGGGAGGCCAGCAGACCUCCCAGAGAGGGGGAGGCAGGGAGGCGGCGCUACAGGGGACUCGAUCUCAGAGAGAGGUGGCCUCCCCUGCUGGCCCUGCCUGCAGUUUUCUCUAGACGCCAGCUUUCGUCAAAAAGGAAUAACUACACGCAUGUUACCAUGGCUGGUACAGGGCCCGGCACACAGCUGAUACUCAGUUUUUCCUAGCGAUUUACUUAUGCAUCAAAUGCACCACAGAGCACACGGGCAGUUAGAUGCUGAUCCCCAAGUCUUCAGCCCUGCGAACCCCUAUCUAUAAAACUUCCAGGUGACGUUUGCUGCCUACACCUCCGAUUUCCCAUCAGGUGCUGGAGCCAUCCCAGGCCUUCUUUGUGGCUUCUCUUCAUUGGUAUUUCAUCUACAACAACGCCAGAGACGUUUAUCUCUAACUCACUGGUGAGGAGACAUUGACACCCUUCUCCCUGGUCACACCUGCUUGACCUUAGGAGUCAAGGGCAACGGCCUGGGUGGGCGGACAUGGCAACGCGCUCAUCACUGCCAGGCUCAUCACUGCUGCUUCUCUCUGCCUGCAUCUCGUGCUCGUGACCUGGCUCGGAUGCUGCAUUCCUUUGCUGGGACCGUCAUCACAGAGCACGAGAGAUGGGGUGCUUCAACCGCGGAAGUGUGUUUCCUCACGGUUCUGGAGUCUGGAAAUCUGAGAUCAGCAUGAGGGCCACCUCCCGCGAUAAUGAUAUUCUCUGACCACCGCCAUCCCCCAGCAGACCAGGCACCUCUCCAGGACCAUGAAUCCACCCAUGAGUCAGAAAAUGCCACCAACAUUGUUGAUCUUGCAUUUGACAAAAGUUUCUUUUCCUAUGAGUAAUCAUUAUCUUCAAUUUUAGACCAUUUCGGAAAUAAAAACUGACAUUAAAAGUAA